GAUGAACCUGAAUAUCUGAAUUGAGAAAUUCAAUAUUAUUUUUAUUAUUAUUUUAAACAUAAUAUAAAAAUGGUAUGCACUUUUCUCAUAGUAGGACAUUGCGAUCCAUUAGUAUAAUCUUUUUAAGAUAGUUUAUCAAAUGGCCCAUUUAGUCAGUUUAUUCUAUCUGUAAUAAUUUUUAUUAAUUGUUAUAUGAGUAAUGCUAUAUCGGUGACCUGGUAAACAGCUGAUGGAGCUUAACGAUCAUGCAACCAUGUAAAUGUAUCACGGUUUAUAUAUAUUUAUAUAUAUGAAUGCAGUGAUUGCAUGUAUUUGAUCAGCAAUGCGAUAGAUUUGGGAUACCUUCGGGACCCGUCU
rnacentral:rRNA from 1 species